rnacentral:rRNA from 1 species
GGCGAACGCUGGCGGCGUGCUUAACACAUGCAAGUCGAACGGUAAGGCCCUUCGGGGUACACGAGUGGCGAACGGGUGAGUAACACGUGGGUGAUCUGCCCUGCACUUCGGGAUAAGCCUGGGAAACUGGGUCUAAUACCGGAUAGGACCACUGCCUGCAUGGGUGGUGGUGGAAAGGUGUUGCGGUGUGGGGUGGGCCCGGGGCCUAUCAGCUUGUUGGUGGGGUGAUGGCCUACCAAGGCGACGACGGGGUGCCGGCCGGACAGGGGGGCCGGCCACACUGGGACUGAGAGACGGCCCAGACUCCUACGGGAGGCAGCAGUGGGGAAUAUUGCACAAUGGGCGCAAGCCUGAUGCAGCGACGCCGCGUGAGGGAUGACGGCCUUCGGGUUGUAAACCUCUUUCAGCACCGACGAAGCGCAAGUGACGGUAGGUGCAGAAGAAGGACCGGCCAACUACGUGCCAGCCGCCGCAGUAA